GGUUAAGCGACUAAGCGUACACGGUGGAUGCCCUGGCAGUCAGAGGCGAUGAAGGGCGUGCUAAUCUGCGAUAAGCGCCGGUAAGGUGAUAUGAACCGUUAUAACCGGCGAUACCCGAAUGGGGAAACCCAGUGUGAUUCGUCACACUAUCAUUAACUGAAUCCAUAGGUUAAUGAGGCGAACCGGGGGAACUGAAACAUCUAAGUACCCCGAGGAAAAGAAAUCAACCGAGAUUCCCCCAGUAGCGGCGAGCGAACGGGGAGGAGCCCAGAGCCUGAAUCAGCAUGUGUGUUAGUGGAAGCGUCUGGAAAGGCGCGCGAUACAGGGUGACAGCCCCGUACACAAAAGCGCAUGUGCUGUGAGCUCGAUGAGUAGGGCGGGACACGUGGUAUCCUGUCUGAAUAUGGGGGGACCAUCCUCCAAGGCUAAAUACUCCUGACUGACCGAUAGUGAACCAGUACCGUGAGGGAAAGGCGAAAAGAACCCCGGCGAGGGGAGUGAAAAAGAACCUGAAACCGUGUACGUACAAGCAGUGGGAGCACAGGUUUACCUGUGUGACUGCGUACCUUUUGUAUAAUGGGUCAGCGACUUAUAUUCUGUAGCAAGGUUAACCGAAUAGGGGAGCCGCAGGGAAACCGAGUCUUAAUUGGGCGUUAAGUUGCAGGGUAUAGACCCGAAACCCGGUGAUCUAGCCAUGGGCAGGUUGAAGGUUGGGUAACACUAACUGGAGGACCGAACCGACUAAUGUUGAAAAAUUAGCGGAUGACCUGUGGCUGGGGGUGAAAGGCCAAUCAAACCGGGAGAUAGCUGGUUCUCCCCGAAAGCUAUUUAGGUAGCGCCUCGUGAAUUCAUCUCCGGGGGUAGAGCACUGUUUCGGCUAGGGGGCCAUCCCGGCUUACCAACCCGAUGCAAACUGCGAAUACCGGAGAAUGUUAUCACGGGAGACACACGGCGGGUGCUAACGUCCGUCGUGAAGAGGGAAACAACCCAGACCGCCAGCUAAGGUCCCAAAGUCAUGGUUAAGUGGGAAACGAUGUGGGAAGGCCCAGACAGCCAGGAUGUUGGCUUAGAAGCAGCCAUCAUUUAAAGAAAGCGUAAUAGCUCACUGGUCGAGUCGGCCUGCGCGGAAGAUGUAACGGGGCUAAACCAUGCACCGAAGCUGCGGCAGCGACGCUGAUGCGUUGUUGGGUAGGGGAGCGUUCUGUAAGCCUGUGAAGGUGUGUCGUGAGGCAUGCUGGAGGUAUCAGAAGUGCGAAUGCUGACAUAAGUAACGAUAAAGCGGGUGAAAAGCCCGCUCGCCGGAAGACCAAGGGUUCCUGUCCAACGUUAAUCGGGGCAGGGUGAGUCGACCCCUAAGGCGAGGCCGAAAGGCGUAGUCGAUGGGAAACGGGUUAAUAUUCCCGUACUUGGUGUUACUGCGAAGGGGGGACGGAGAAGGCUAUGUUGGCCGGGCGACGGUUGUCCCGGUUUAAGCGUGUAGGUGUGUGUUCCAGGUAAAUCCGGUUCACUUUAACACUGAGGCGUGAUGACGAGGCACUACGGUGCUGAAGCAACAAAUGCCCUGCUUCCAGGAAAAGCCUCUAAGCAUCAGGUAACAUCAAAUCGUACCCCAAACCGACACAGGUGGUCAGGUAGAGAAUACCAAGGCGCUUGAGAGAACUCGGGUGAAGGAACUAGGCAAAAUGGUGCCGUAACUUCGGGAGAAGGCACGCUGACACGUAGGUGAAGUGAUUUACUCACGGAGCUGAAGUCAGUCGAAGAUACCAGCUGGCUGCAACUGUUUAUUAAAAACACAGCACUGUGCAAACACGAAAGUGGACGUAUACGGUGUGACGCCUGCCCGGUGCCGGAAGGUUAAUUGAUGGGGUCAGCGCAAGCGAAGCUCCUGAUCGAAGCCCCGGUAAACGGCGGCCGUAACUAUAACGGUCCUAAGGUAGCGAAAUUCCUUGUCGGGUAAGUUCCGACCUGCACGAAUGGCGUAAUGAUGGCCAGGCUGUCUCCACCCGAGACUCAGUGAAAUUGAACUCGCUGUGAAGAUGCAGUGUACCCGCGGCAAGACGGAAAGACCCCGUGAACCUUUACUAUAGCUUGACACUGAACAUUGAGCCUUGAUGUGUAGGAUAGGUGGGAGGCUUUGAAGUGUGGACGCCAGUCUGCAUGGAGCCGACCUUGAAAUACCACCCUUUAAUGUUUGAUGUUCUAACGUGGACCCGUAAUCCGGGUUGCGGACAGUGUCUGGUGGGUAGUUUGACUGGGGCGGUCUCCUCCUAAAGAGUAACGGAGGAGCACGAAGGUUGGCUAAUCCUGGUCGGACAUCAGGAGGUUAGUGCAAUGGCAUAAGCCAGCUUGACUGCGAGCGUGACGGCGCGAGCAGGUGCGAAAGCAGGUCAUAGUGAUCCGGUGGUUCUGAAUGGAAGGGCCAUCGCUCAACGGAUAAAAGGUACUCCGGGGAUAACAGGCUGAUACCGCCCAAGAGUUCAUAUCGACGGCGGUGUUUGGCACCUCGAUGUCGGCUCAUCACAUCCUGGGGCUGAAGUAGGUCCCAAGGGUAUGGCUGUUCGCCAUUUAAAGUGGUACGCGAGCUGGGUUUAGAACGUCGUGAGACAGUUCGGUCCCUAUCUGCCGUGGGCGCUGGAGAACUGAGGGGGGCUGCUCCUAGUACGAGAGGACCGGAGUGGACGCAUCACUGGUGUUCGGGUUGUCAUGCCAAUGGCACUGCCCGGUAGCUAAAUGCGGAAGAGAUAAGUGCUGAAAGCAUCUAAGCACGAAACUUGCCCCGAGAUGAGUUCUCCCUGAGACUUAGAGUCUCCUGAAGGAACGUUGAAGACGACGACGUUGAUAGGCCGGGUGUGUAAGCGCAGCGAUGCGUUGAGCUAACCGGUACUAAUGAACCGUGAGGCUUAACCUU
rnacentral:rRNA from 1 species